rnacentral:rRNA from 1 species
AUGGGAAAUCGAAGACAUGCCGGUGGCCAUGGCUUUGGUCCAAGUUCUUUCAAGCGAUCAACAAAGAAGAAACAAAGUAGUAUCUGGAAGAAGAGCGUGGCUCAAACAAAGAGAACUCUAGAACAUUUUAGAGUACCGGUGGCAAAUAGAUAUAACAAUGCUAAUGGAAGAGGUGAUGAUGUUUUUGUGACUCAGAAGGCAAGGCAAAUUCCUCCAGAGGCGACUAGCAACUCUAAGGUUGAGUGUCAUGCAAAAGAUUUAUCAUGCCCCUUGUCCUCAAGGUUGAACAAUGGUUCUUCCAGGAUGAAAAAUAGUAUGAGGCCCUCCAGCUCAAGGCCAAACAAUAGCGUGGUUGGUCCACGGAACAAUAUUGAAAUGCCCUCUUCCUCAAGGCCAACCAAUGGCUUGAAAUCUUCGAAGAAGGAUAGAAAGUCUUCUUCAAGGCCAAAGAAUAUCGAGUUGUACUCGAGGUCUAACAAAUGCCCAAUUUCUAGUGAGGAGGAUGUUCAAAAGUCUAGACCGUCUUUGUCAAGGUCGAAUAGCCCAAUUUCUCGACCUAAGCCUAAGCGCUCUUCCUUGAGGCAGGACAAUGGUAGAUCCUCCCCGCCAAAGAGCAAGCCUAAGCUCUCUUCCUUGAGGCAAGACAAUGAUAGAGCCUCCCCGCCAAAGAACAUUGGGAUGCCUAGGUCACCUUCCUCAAUACCAAACAUUUACAUGGUUUCUCCAUCGAAGGAAUUUGAGAAGUCUUCGUUGUCUUCAAGUCCAAACUAUGGCUUUGUUCCUUCGCAGAAGGAUAUCGAGCAACUUAUGUCUGCGCCACCCGGGGCCUCUUGGCUUGGAGAUGGAAUUUCCUCAGUAUAUCCUGCCUCCAGAGGGUUGGACGAUGACUCAAAUUCCCCAUUUCAUAUUUCAAAGAUAUCACACCCCUCGUCGGUGGUUUCUAACUCAAAUAAUGUCAAACAAACAAUGAUUGGUGAAGAUAAGAAUGGAGACCUCUCGAUGGGGAAGGAAGCUUCGACUUCUAGCCUAGGGUUGAAGGGUAAAGUCAUGCAAGAUCUCCAACCUCACUUCGGAGUCAAUUGUGGUCCUUUAUUCGUUAAGAACCUUUCAAGUCGCCAACCAGCUGAGGCAUAUCCCAUGAGCAAUAACACGGAGCAAAAUACAAAUCACGGUCGACUUGCUAGUAGAAAGCGGAACACCGCCCUUAUGAAUGAUGGAAGAGCCGAUGAUGACAAGUCUAAGAGCAAGAUUACAAAACCAUUGGUUGAAGAGAAGUUUGAUUCACAUGAGGAUGAUGAUAAUGAUGUUGGGAAUGGUAGGCCAAAGGAGACAAGGAGAAGACCUGUAGGGUAUGAGGAUGAAGACUGCAAUUACGUGGAGCAGAAUGCAAAUCACAAUCAACUUGAUAGUAGAAAGUGGAACACUGCCCUUACAAAUGAUGGAAGAGGCGACGACGACAAGUCUAAGGGCAAGAUGAUGAAGCCAUUGUUGGAUGAGAAGCUUGAUUCAAAUGAGGACGAUGAUAAUGAAGUUGAGAAUGGUAGGCCAAAGAAGGCAAGAAGGCCUACAGGGGAUGAAUAUGCAGACAGUGAUUAUGGUGAUCAAAAUCUUGCAAGUCGCCAAUCAGCCAUGGCAUCUUUCAUGACCAAUUGCGUGGAGCAGAAAGCAAAUCACAAUCCGCUUGAUAGUAGUAAGCGAAACACUACCCUUACGAAUGACGGAAGAGGCGAUGAUGACAGGUCUAAGGGCAAGAUGGCAGAAUCAUUGUUGGAAGAGAAGCUUGAUUCGCAUGAUGACGAUGAUAAUGAAGUUGAGAAUUAUAGGUUGAAGAAAAGGAGAAAACUUAUAGGGUAUGAGGGUGAAGAUGACGACGGUGGUGGCCAAAAUCUUGCCGGUGUGGAAAGUGGUACUGCUAUGAUAACACAAAAAGUUGUUGUGAAGGAGACCAAUGUCUCCAAUCCACCCGUUUCAGAAUCUUUCAAGCUGCAACACUAUAGUUCCCUUCCCAUCGAUGAACCUAUUUGGAGUGGACUCAUCAAGACAUGCAGCAAGGACUAUGUUUCAUUAGAUGCACAUUUGUCAACCAAAUACUGUGAGAUUGUGUGUAAAUUGUCAAGAUCAUUGCAGCCGGUGGUUGAAGUAACAAAGCUGUCUAGGAUGGAGGCUUGGCCUAGGAGCUUUGAGGUGUCAAGACCCACUGAUAGUGACAUCGCUUUGUAUUUCUUUCCCCACAAAAUGAGGCAACGUACGGACCUUGAUCAACUAGUUAAGGAAGUUGUGGAAAAUGAUAUGGUCUUACUAGCUGUUGUCGGCGAGGCCGAAAUGCUGAUUUUCCCUUCUAUUCUACUGCCUGAACAACACCAAACUUUCCAAGGACGACCCUACCUGUGGGCGGCAUUCAGGCCCAGAAGAGCAAAUAAGUUUCGUACAGUGGAAGAACAGCGACAUGGCAAAGGCCAUUGUGCACAGGAGGAAGAGAUGGUAAAACAGCCUGAAGCUCCUGAAGAAGCAGAGGGGCAAGGCAUGGAGCAGGAACACAUCCCAGCAGAGGGGCAAGGCAUGGAGCAGGAACACAUCCCGGCAGAGGGGCAAGGCAUGGAGCAAGUACACAUCCCAGCAGAGGGGCAAGGCAUGGAGCAGGAACAGUCGUCGGUCCAACCCAACGCUCCAGCACCUGUUGAAGGUGUAGCCAGGGCUACUUCGGCUCCCACCGUGCUGGCUGCAACGUCUGCAAGCCAUGGACAGACCCACUCAAGCUUGGGUGCCCCCACAGGCGCACUGUUCGGCUUUGUGGCUCAGCUAACUCCAAGAUUUGAGCAACUCAUCCAGGAGAUGCAACGUGAAGGCGCUGUGAUGGUUGCGGUGCGAGGGGAGAUGAAGGCUUCGAGCUCAUCCUGA